AUUGAACGCUGGCGGCAGGCCUAACACAUGCAAGUCGAGCGGAUGAAGGGAGCUUGCUCCUGGAUUCAGCGGCGGACGGGUGAGUAAUGCCUAUGAAUCUGCCUGGUAGUGGGGGAUAACGUCCGGAAACGGGCGCUAAUACCGCAUACGUCCUGAGGGAGAAAGUGGGGGAUCUUCGGACCUCACGCUAUCAGAUGAUCCUAGGUCGGAUUAGCUAGUUGGUGGGGUAAAGGCCUACCAAGGCGACGAUCCGUAACUGGUCUGAGAGGAUGAUCAGUCACACUGGAACUGAGACACGGUCCAGACUCCUACGGGAGGCAGCAGUGGGGAAUAUUGGACAAUGGGCGAAAGCCUGAUCCAGCCAUGCCGCGUGUGUGAAGAAGGUCUUCGGAUUGUAAAGCACUUUAAGUUGGGAGGAAGGGCAGUAAGUUAAUACCUUGCUGUUUUGACGUUACCAGCAGAAUAAGCACCGGCUAACUUCGUG
rnacentral:rRNA from 1 species